rnacentral:lncRNA from 1 species
GAACACGAAUAAAAUCUCUGUCCUACUGCAGCAUCUAAGUAAGAACAACGCAGACAAAGCAUUAGACAGCGAUGAGGAACUGCAUGCUACAACAAGCCAAACCCACUGCUUCUGUUUGUCGUUAAGCCUCCAUGUAGAGGAAGAAAUCAGUCUCAUGAGUGACCUAGUCAUCUUGGAGAACAUGCCAAAAUAAGCCCAGCUUACCGCAUUCCAGAGGCAGCUUCUGGGAUAACUGAGCAAGGAUAGACCGCAAAAUACAUUACACACUGGACCAUGUAAUUCAUAUACAGGAAUGGUAUUAGAGGCACUGCACCAUUGGGAGUAUUGUUUACCUAUAAAGGGAUGGAGCAGCUCAUGGUGCAGGACCAGCACCACCAGACCACCGACAGGAUCUUACCCCAGUGCAGAGAUGGAAACUUCCACACACAUCCCUUUGGCUCUUCAGUUUAGCUCUGACAGUCAGUCGCUGAAGGUGAAAAAGCUGGUGCUGGUUUUGCCUGUGUCAAGUCAUGGACAGAAUCAUUUAUCUCAAGGAUCAGUGUCAGUCCUUACCUCCCACUGCCAGACUUUUCCCCUCUUUGGACCAAUAUUAGCAUUAACCACCUGCACAAUUCUGACUUAAAUGUCACCACUGCUUCAAUUGCAUCAAUUGGCAAAAGCAGUGUUGGAGAAGGAAAAUCUGAGAAUGAUGUACUGGUCCAGUACUGGUGAGCUACCUGUUUUAUAAAGUCUUAUCGUUUCUUA